UGUGUAAAAUGUAACAAAUUCAGUAGGCACUGGUCCCUAACAAUCAGCGCAUGUGACCAAAACAAGCCUAUCGGCAACUCGACCUGUUCAGGAGCGCUUCGCGGAUUGAGCUGGAUGGAUACGAGUGACAGAUAAGAUACAUUUUCUAAUAAUUAUUUACCAAGGACGCACCGAGCAAUAGCUAUAUUGUAAUGUAUUCGAUAAAAAAAUGACAUUAAACACGUAUAAUACGUUAAGAGGUGGUAAGGCUAAACGCGCUAAUCUACUAAAGUCAUAUUCAUAGAUAUGUUUGUUCCAUUAUUGUGUUAAGUAGAUGGCAGUGUUGGGGAAGCUAACGUUAUCUUGAAAACAUAGCUCACAAAGCUACCAAUUACUUAACACUGAAAGUUAAACUGCACCAAAGCUAUCCUUCACUACAUCCAAAAUACUUCGUGAAAAAAUGUCGUCUAAAAUGGCAUACACUACAAAUUGAAAGGAUAGAUCACUCUGGGGUCAUACGUUAACAUGAUGUGUAAUUGAACCUAUUAAACACAAAACGAUGUUUCAAGUGAGAUUUAGGCAGGCACGUCUGAUACCGAAAAAUAACUACCACCAAGCUACAUCCAAAUGUAGUUAAAUUAGUUGAUCUACAUGUAGUUCAAUACUCCUAACACUGGUAGAUGGGAGAGAAUACUGUACUAGAGCUUGUAAUAAAAAUACUCCACAUUCUAUAGCCAGCUGUUCAUCAAAUCACAUUAUCUAUAGGGAUACUUGGUGUAUCCAAUGGAUUUGAUUGAAAUCAUGAGGAGGCAUGAGUCUGUGGUUAACCAAGAUCACAUGCUUUGAAAUUGGUUGCAUCAUGCACAUCUUUUUUAUUAAGCUAACGAAUGCAAUGUAUUUGAAUUUAUUCUGGUAAGAAAAAUAUCUAUGUAAAAUAUAUGAAACUAUACUGGCUAUAGACAAGAGGGCAUGCACCUCUGAUCGGCUACAGCGCAAAUAGUGUCAAAGAGGCUCUGUGUCAAUUAUGGUAAAUGCAAAGUCGUCUGAUGCUCACAUCAGAGCAGAAAGCAUCUAUAGAUAUUUUUUUGCUAUUUAUCACUAACUCACAUCAAACUGAAUUAUGAGUCUCCCCCACCAGCCCACUAAUGAAUAUAUUCCCUGGGAAGUCAUCCUGUGUUUCCCAACUAGGGACUGUGGGUGGGAUGGCAGUGGCCUGGAGGGUCUUUCUGUGCAGCCAUGGUCGGUCUGUCCCCCUGAGCAAAAGACUGUUUGAGCUGCUUGGAUGCCCCCUGGUUAAGGAGAUUAUCUCUCUCUGCUUGGCUUGCAGUGACUGUGUGCAGGCUUGGCAUCACCCUGAUUUACCAUCCUCAAAGACCUCUGGAAUUCAGGUUUUCAUGGCCUAUAAAUCUUUUGUGUUUAAUUGACCUUUUAUAAGAUAACUAUAAGGAUAAUAAUUUGGUGGGUGCUUAUACUUGUCCUAUUUCACACAUGUACAAGUGUGUAUUAAUAAGCAUAUUUGAAUUAGAAAUAUUUUUUGCAUAUCCCCCUCUCCGUUAGACGCCCCCUAGGAGAGUGUGGUCAUGGCCAGGGUCUGACUUUAUCAACAGUGACCCUGGAGAAAUUAGGGUUACAGUGCCUUCUGAAAGUAUUCAGACCCCUUGACUUUUUCCACAGGUUUGCAAAUUACUUAAAAAUAAAAAACAGAAAUGUCACAUUUACAUAAGUAUUCAGACCCUUUACUCAGUACUUUGUUGAAGCAUAUUUGGCAGAGAUUACAGCCUCGAGUCUUCUGGGUUUCUCCCAUCGCUGCAGAGCUAUUUUCAGGUCUCUCCAGAGAUGUUUGAACAGGUUCAAGUCCGGGCUCUGGCUGGGCCAUUCAAGGACAUUCAGAGACUUGUCCCGAAGCCACUCUUGAGUUGUCUUGGCUGUGUGCUUAGGGUCGCUUGGCAUUCAGGCCAAAGAUUUCAAUCUUGGUUUCAUCAGACCAGAGAAUCUUGUUUCUCAUGGUCGGAGAGUCCUUUAGGUGCCUUUUGGAAAACUCCAAGUGGGCUGUCAUGUACCUUUUACUUAGGAGUGGCUUCCAUCUGGCCAGUCUACCAUAAAGAUCUGAUCGGUGGAGUGCUGCAGAGAUGGUUUUCCUUCUGGAAGGUUCUCCCAUCUCCACAGAGGAACUCUGGAGCUCUGUCAGAGUGUCCAUCGGGUUCUUGGUCACCUCCCUUACCAAGGCUCUUCUCCCCAAAUUGCUCAGUGUGGCCGGGCGGCCAGUUUAGGAAGAGUCUUGGUGGUUCCAAACUUCUUCCAUUUAAGAAUGAUGGAGGCCAUUGUGUUCUUGGGGACCUUCAGUGCUGCAGAAAUGUUUUGUACCCUUCCCCAGAUCUGUGCCUUGACACAAUCCUGUCUCGGAGCUCUACGGACAAUUCCUUUGACCUCAUGGCUUGGUUUUUGCUCUGGCAUGCACUGUCAACUGUGGGACCUUAUAUAGACAGGUGUGUGCCUUUCCAAAUCGUGUCUAAUUAAUUGAAUUUACCACAGGUGGACUCCAAUCAAGUUGUAGAAACAUCUCAAGGAUGAUCAAUGGAAACAAGAUGCACCUGAGCUCAAUUUCAAGUCUCAUACCAAAGGGCCUGAAUAAAUAAGAAGACUGCAGCCAAGGCAGCACACUGGUCCACACCUGCCCUGUCUGUCGGGUGAGUAGUAUUGUUUGGUACUGUAUGUGCCUUUAGGUUCCUAUCCAUAUGUAGGCUAUUGUACUGGCCUGAGUGGUAGUCUUUGAUGUGUAGUACUUUGUUUCUUAGUUUAUCAUGUGUCAACUUUGAAUUCAAUCUAAGCCACAGAUUGUUCACUUCUUGCACUUUGAGUGCAAGCAUCCCAAGUCUCCAGUGGUCCCAGUACAGGUAGAUGUGCUGAAGUGACCACACAAACUCAGAUGGACCUACAGCUGAGGUAAGAUUCUUCCAUCAUUCACACACAGUAGACAGUGUAAACCACCAUGCAGUCAACAAAAUGCUGUUCUCAAUUCUGAAAUUGUAUUAUGUUUGGCUCAAUCUGUGGAAAUGCUGUCAUCGUCUGUAAUGUGAUUCACAACACACGAUGACUAUGAUUUGAAUGCUGCAGCUGAGACAGAAUGACGUCGAGGGAAACACGCUGAGAACCCGAGUAUGACUGGGCAUGGGCCGGAUAUUUGUGACAACGACCUAGAAGGGGUACAGAAGCACACCAGCACUCCAUUUUAUUAUUAUUUAAUGGCCAACCAUCCCUCUAACUACCGCUUAUUCCACACUAUGCCUUUUAUGCCCCAUGGUCCCUCAACUUCUGACAUUUUGGAGUUCUCUAUCUUAUCUCUAUAAACCCACCCUACCUAUACCCAUUUUCCCUAUACUUCACUUGUUCUUCUCCUGAUUGGAUAAACUUCUAGUCUCAGUAGCACAUUUAAAACUGUUGUGUACUGUUUUUGAUACCUGUUUUUCACCUGUGUAAUGCGGUCCUCCUGCUCAUUCUGGUGACUGAAUACAGGGGUAAAUGUGCUGCUCACAGUUAACAGCAGAAACAUGGACCUAAAUUGACAAGAAGGGUGUUGAUAUAGCUGCAUUUUAGCAUGGCUUCCUUGUUUUGAGUCUGUUGACCUAGUAUUUUCUAUUAAACCUACCUUACACAUCCUGUUGUUUCUCUGAUCUUCACUUAAAAGUCAGAUGUUUAUAUAAUAUAUAUAAAUAUUUAUAUGCAUCGUUUACUAUUUUGAUUUCUUUAAAACAAUGUAAUUGUUGGAGUUCGGGUGUUUUACGUGAUUGAUGGGUGGCUUGGUGCAUUCCUGUCAAAUAAAUAUUCUUAUUCAUUCAU